GGGCGGCUAGCUCAGCCGGGAGAGCGCUAGCUUGACAUGCUAGAGGUCGGCGGUUCGAUCCCGUCGCCGCCCACCA
rnacentral:tRNA from 2 species